rnacentral:ncRNA from 1 species
AAGAGAAGCAAACCCGGUGAACUGAAACAUCUAAGUAGCCGGAGGAGGAGAAAACAAAAGUGAUUCCGUUAGUAGUGGCGAGCGAACGCGGAUUAGCCCAAACCAAUACUGUUUCGGCAGUAUUGGGGUUGUAGGACCACGACAUUUGAUGCGUAAUGAAUUGGAAUCCUUUGGAAAGAGGAGCCGUAGACGGUGAUAGCCCGGUACAAGUAAAGAACGUUAUUGAUAGUGGUAUCCUGAGUAGUGCGGGGCACGUGAAACCUUGUAUGAAUUUGCCGGGACCAUCCGGUAAGGCUAAAUACUCCUGAGAGACCGAUAGUGAACCAGUACCGUGAGGGAAAGGUGAAAAGAACCGUGAAUAACGGAGUGAAAAAGAUCCUGAAACCAUACGCUUACAAGCGGUCGGAGCCCUUUGGGGUGACGGCGUGCCUUUUGCAUAAUGAGCCUACGAGUUACUUUUACUAGCAAGGUUAAGAUUUUAAGGAUCGGAGCCGUAGCGAAAGCGAGUCUGAAUAGGGCGCCAUAGUUAGUAGUAGUAGACGCGAAACCGUGUGAUCUACCCAUGGGCAGGUUGAAGCUUUGUUAACCCAAAGUGGAGGACCGAACCCGUUGACGUUGAAAAGUCUUGGGAUGACCUGUGGGUAGGGGUGAAAGGCCAAUCAAACUCGGAAAUAGCUCGUACUCCCCGAAAUGCAUUUAGGUGCAGCGUUGUGAUAGUUUUAUAGAGGUAGAGCUACUGAUUGGAUGCGGGGGCUUCACCGCCUACCAAUUCCUGACAAACUCCGAAUGCUAUAAAAUGUUUCACAGCAGUGAGGGCAUGGGUGCUAAGGUCCAUGUCCGAGAGGGAAAGAACCCGGACCAUCAGCUAAGGUCCCCAAGUGUAUACUAAGUUGAUAUAACGCGGUGGAAUUGCAUUGACAGCCAGGAUGUUGGCUUGGAAGCAGCCAUUCAUUUAAAGAGUGCGUAACAGCUCACUGGUCGAGCGAUUCCGCAUGGAUAAUAAUCGGGCAUAAGUAUACCACCGAAGCUAUGGCUUCUGUACUCGGUACAGAGGGGUAGGGGAGCAUUCUAUAUGUGUUGAAGGUGA